ACAGGAUGUGGCUCAGUGGUAGAGUGCUUGCCUGCUAUGUAUGAGGCCCUGGGUCCCAUCCCAACACUGCA
rnacentral:tRNA from 1 species